UUUUAUUUUGACAUUAUAAUUUUGGAUUGAAAACUUGUACCAUUUAAUUAGAAAUACAUACAGACAGAUAUUGAUAUUGAUAUUACUAAAUCGUUCUACAAGUUUAACUAACUUGAGGGUGUGGACCUAUGUAGAUUAGUUUAUCGUCCAAAUGUUGAUACAAUUUUGCCUCAAGUUUAUUAGUUUUGUUUAACUUCAAAUUGUGGGUCUAUAAAAAUAACAAGUUUUAUUGCCAAUAUUCGAUUGGUUAGUCAAUUAGAGACGUUGAGCGAGAGUACAUGAUGGUAAAAAAUUCACUGUAGUUUAGAAUCACAAUCAAAAUCCUGGAUUGUACCUUUCGGAGGUUGAGCGAGAAUAUUUUAUGGGAGGAUUGUAGUUCUGAUUAAUUUCUGCCGGCAGAUUUGAAAUUAUAAACAAUUGUUUACAAGUCCAAAAGUGACAGACAGUAAAAUGUCCACCUUAAGUUCAAGUUUAAUUAAAUUGGGUGUGCUCACUGGUGAUUGUGAUGCCUUUUUGUUGGCUGCUGCAGCAAAGCGGAUUAACAAAUUUAACAAAUCUACACUUUUCUGUUUUGAUGAAAUCGAGGUUUCUCGUUUCAAGUUGGAUUUUAGAUUUGAAAAAGCGGACAUUUUGCGAUUGAAAUCAGAGUUACGGGUUCCAGAUGUGUUAAAAAUGCCUAAUAGGACAGAAUUCAGCGGACUAAUUUGCUUGUGUGUUAUGCUACGACGCCUUGCUUAUCCUAAUCGACUCUCAGAUCUACAAAAGUACUAAGGAUUUUCGCCUCAAGAUUUGUCCUACAUUUUUAACUCAAUGAUUAAUCAUGUUUAUGGCAAUUUUUAUCAUCUUCUGACAUCUCUCCAGUUAUGGUGGUUAUCUCUUGAACAUCUUAAAGAGUUUUCGGGAGCUUUGGUCAGGAAAGGGUGUCCAAUUCCAUCUUGUAUUGGGUUUAUAGAUGGAACCUUGCACAAAACUUGUCGGCCCACUCGAUCCCAACAAGAAGUUUAUAGCGGUCAUAAACGGUCGCACGGACUGAAAUAUCAAUCGGUAGUGACUCCAAAUGGAAUGGUUGCAAAUUUAU